rnacentral:rRNA from 1 species
UACAGAGGUCCCGAGCGUUGUUCGGAUUCAUUGGGCGUAAAGAGCUCGUAGGCGGUCUGUCGCGUCGGCUGUGAAAACUCGGGGCUCAACCCCGAGCCUGCAGUCGAUACGGGCAGACUAGAGUGCGGUAGGGGAGGACUGGAAUUCCUGGUGUAGCGGUGGAAUGCGCAGAUAUCGGGAGGAACACCGGUGGCGAAGGCGGUUCUCUGGGCC